UUCUCACUAAAAUUAAAAAUUACAAGCUCGAUCCCAUCUGAUCUCGGAAGCUAAGCAGGGUUGGGCCUGGUUAAUACUUAGAUGAGAGACCACCUAGGAAGACCAGGUGCUGUAGGAG
rnacentral:rRNA from 1 species